rnacentral:lncRNA from 1 species
CAGCAGUAGAAUUAGGGAAACCUCGGUAUCCACUUAAAAAAAAGAAGAAGAAAAAGAGAAAAUGAUAGCCCAUGGUCCCUCUAAUAAGCAAUAUGCCAGCAAGAGUUGACAAAGAUUUUAAUUUCCAAAGUCUUUGAUCUAAGAGUAUGACAUUCCCCUCCUCGAAUCCCAUUUUGAUCAGGCAAUAAAUGCAAAGUAAGUAUGCUUAAGAAUUUUUGCAAAUUAAAACAGCCUCAGUA